CUUGUCCUAAGGAUCUAAGUUUUCCUUCGCCUCUUUUCCACUCUCCCUCUGCUGAUGUCCUGGGGACAGAGAGAUGUACAGAGAGUAAAGUUGGUGAACAGUGACCAGCUAUUUAAUCAGCCAGUGUAGAAGGAAGUGUUGUUGUCCAACGUCCAUUGGUUUUUAUCAAGCAAUCCUCCUGAACCAAGCAUCCACUAAAACCCAGAAGGGCAUAGUCAAGAGCUUCUGGUGGAACUGCCAGGCAAUUCUGCAAGGCUGUGACCAAAACACCCAACAAUAACAAUGCAGAAAAGGGAAAGUCUGUUUGGCUCACAGUUUCAGAGAUUUCAUGCAUGGUCUGACCACUCCUUUGCUCUAGGCCCAAGGGAGGCAGAACAUCAAUGUGGAAGAGUGUGGUAGAGGGGCACUGCUCUGUUCCUGGUGACAAGGAAUCAGAGACAGAGGAAAGACAUUGGACAGGCGAAAAGUGAACCAGGGCAUGUCCCCAGUGACCCACCUCCUCCAGCCACGCCUCCUACAGUUAUCACCCAAUCAAUCUAUCCCCACUAGGAUCCACUGAUUAGGUCACACACCUCUCACCACCCAAUGGUCUCACCUCUGAACAUUGCUGCAUUAACACAGGAGCUUUGGGGGGACAUCUCAUACACAAGCCAUAGAAGUUGGAGAACAUGUGUAGUUCCUGGGAGGGCAGCGUGCUUGGAGAGGACAGGGAAGCUUCUUGACCCCUCCCCUGUACUGUGAGCUACGCACUCUCUCACUUGGCAGUUUCUGAGUGUAUCCUUUAGUCAUAAACCAGGAAUCGAGUACGUAAGCUGUUUUCUGAAUUCUGUGAGUUGUGGUAGCUUUUACUGACCCAGAGGGAGAGUUUGCAAGGAACUUAAUUUGUAGCUGGUGGGCCAGAAACACAGGUGGC
rnacentral:lncRNA from 1 species